AACGCGAAGAACCUUACCAAAUCUUGACAUCCCGAUGACAGACUGUGUAAAGCAGUUUCUCUUCGGAGCAUCGGUGACAGGUGGUGCAUGGUUGUCGUCAGCUCGUGUCGUGAGAUGUUCGGUUAAGUCCGCUAACGAGCGCAACCCUUGUCCUUAGUUGCUAACAUUAAGUUGAGAACCCUAAGGAGACUGCCGAUAAUAAAUCGGAGGAAGGUGGGGAUGAGGUCAAAUCAUCAUGCCCCUUACGUCUAGGGCUACAGGCGUGCUAUAAUGGCCAUUAUAAAGAGAAGCAAAACUGUGAGGUGGAGCAAAACUCCAAAGAUGGUCUCAGUUCGGAUUGAAGUCUGCAACUCGACUUCAUGAAGCUAGAAUCGCUAGUAAUCCUGAAUCAGAAUGUCAGGGUGAAUACGUUCCCGGGUCUUGUACACACGC
rnacentral:rRNA from 1 species